CCUCCGAUAGCUCAGCUAGUAGAGCGGAGGACUGUAGAUCCUUAGGUCGCUGGUUCGAAUCUGGCUCGGAGGA
rnacentral:tRNA from 1 species